GGCCGGAUAGCCAAGUGGUAAGGCAGGGGACUGCAAAUCCCCGAUCGCGGGUUCGAUUCCCGCUCCGGCCU
rnacentral:tRNA from 1 species